UCAAGCAUUGUUUUCGAAUUUUUUCAUGCAUCAAAGCUCGUUAAGACUAGAUGGGGUAUCCCUACAUAGCGGGUGGGACCCACGGCAAAUGGUUCAUCAAGUCUUCAAAAAAGAAUAUAUACGAUUGCAUUGCAUAUACUAACGGAUGCGAUCAUACCAGCACUAAUGCACCGGAUCCCAUCAGAACUCCGCAGUUAAGCGUGCUUGGGCGAGAGUAGUACUAGGAUGGGUGACCUCCCGGGAAGUCCUCGUGUUGCAUCCCUCUUUUAUGUUUAACCUUUUUUUUUGGUUAAAACUUUAUGACUCCAUAACUUUUAGACCGUGAGGCCAAACUUGGCAUGUGGUACCUUUUCGGAAAGCCCAAGACAGCCCUCCGACGAAAGAAGCAGGACAAUGGAAUUUCUCCAUUGACUUUUGUCGACCCAAAUUUGACCUUAAUACUUUUCGGGAUCCU
rnacentral:rRNA from 1 species